UACGAAGGGGGCGAGCGUUGCUCGGAAUUACUGGGCGUAAAGGGCGCGUAGGCGGAAUGGCAAGUCGGUCGUGAAAUCCUUCGGCUCAACCGAAGAACGUCGAUCGAAACUGCCGUUCUUGAGGAUUGCAGAGGAGACUGGAAUUCCCGGUGUAGCGGUGAAAUGCGUAGAGAUCGGGAGGAACACCCGUGGCGAAGGCGGCCAUCUGGACCAGCACUGACGCUGAGGCACGAAAGCGUGGGGAGCAAACAGGG
rnacentral:rRNA from 1 species